rnacentral:rRNA from 1 species
CCUACGGGUGGCAGCAGUGGGGAAUAUUGCACAAUGGGGGAAACCCUGAUGCAGCGACCCCGCUUGAGCGAUGAAGUAUUUCGGUUUGUAAAGCUCUAUCAGCAGGGAAGAAAAUGCCGGUACCUGCCUAAGAAGCCCCGGCUAACUACUUGACAGCAGCCGCGGUAAUACUUAGGGGGCAAGCGUUAGCCGGAUUUACUGGGUGUAAAGGGAGCGUAGACGGCGGUGCAAGCCAGAUGUGAAAGCCCGGGGCUCAACCCCGGGACUGCAUUUGGAACUGUGUGGCUGGAGUGUCGGAGAGGCAGGCGGAAUUCCUAGUGUAGCGGUGAAAUGCGUAGAUAUUAGGAGGAACACCAGUGGCGAAGGCGGCCUGCUGGACGAUGACUGACGUUGAGGCUCGAAAGCGUGGGGAGCAAACAGGAUUAGAUACCCUGGUAGUC